GGAUGCUUUUACUCAGGAACAGUAAUGGUGCUGCUACAUUAGACCACACCAGAGACAGAACUGGAAGAGAUAAAUUCCUUUAAAAAAUCAUAAGAAAACUGAGGCUUUAAAAACUGAAGAUAACACGCUGGUUUCCCUUCAGGUUAUCCUAUACAUCUCAGAUGGAGCUGUCAUUUUUUCCCCCUUGACUGCAGAAGUUUUACCUUUUGGUGGGAAUUACUUUAAUGAAAAGCUGCAGAUGGUCAGACCUGGUGGCACACACCUGUAAUCCCAGCACCUUUGUGAGGCCAAGGCGGGUGGAUCGCUUGAGCCCAGGAAUUCAAGACAGGCCUGGGCAACAUAGCAAGACCUUGUCUCUAUAAAAAAAAUAAAAAUUAAAAAUAAAAAUAAAAAAAAGAUCA